UGGGGAAUUUUGGGCAAUGGGCGAAAGCCUGACCCAGCAACGCCGCGUGAAGGAUGAAGUAUUUCGGUAUGUAAACUUCGAAAGAAUAGGAAGAAUAAAUGACGGUACUAUUUAUAAGGUCCGGCUAACUACGUGCCAGCAGCCGCGGUAAUACGUAGGGACCAAGCGUUGUUCGGAUUUACUGGGCGUAAAGGGCGCGUAGGCGGCAAUUCAAGUCAUCUGUGAAAUCUCCGGGCUUAACUCGGAACGGUCAGAUGAUACUGCUUUGCUAGAGUGCAGAAGGGGCAAUCGGAAUUCUUGGUGUAGCGGUGAAAUGCGUAGAUAUCAAGAGGAACACCUGAGGUGAAGACGGGUUGCUGGGCUGACACUGACGCUGAGGCGCGAAAGCGUGGGGAGCAAACAGGAUUAGAUACCCUGGUAGUCCCUGAGCGGGCUGGCAAGGCGCAU
rnacentral:rRNA from 1 species